CAGCAGCCGCGGGAAUACGUAGGGUACAAGCGUUAAUCGGAAUUACUGGGCGUAAAGCGUGCGCAGGCGGUUAUAUAAGACAGAUGUGAAAUCCCCGGGCUCAACCUGGGAACUGCAUUUGUGACUGUAUAGCUAGAGUACGGCAGAGGGGGAUGGAAUUCCGCGUGUAGCAGUGAAAUGCGUAGAUAUGCGGAGGAACACCGAUGGCGAAGGCAAUCCCCUGGGCCUGUACUGACGCUCAUGCACGAAAGCGUGGGGAGCAAACAGGAUUAGAUACCCCAGUAGUCCCUGUCUCUUAUAC
rnacentral:rRNA from 1 species